UACAGAGGGUGCAAGCGUUGUUCGGAAUUAUUGGGCGUAAAGCGCGCGUAGGCGGCUUUGCAAGUCGGGUGUGAAAGCCCUCAGCUCAACUGAGGAAGGGCGCCCGAAACUGCAGAGCUUGAGUGCCGGAGAGGGUGGCGGAAUUCCCCAAGUAGAGGUGAAAUUCGUAGAUAUGGGGAGGAACACCGGUGGCGAAGGCGGCCACCUGGACGGUCACUGACGCUGAGGCGCGAAAGCUAGGGGAGCAAACAGG
rnacentral:rRNA from 1 species